rnacentral:rRNA from 1 species
UACGUAGGGGGCAAGCGUUGUCCGGAAUUAUUGGGCGUAAAGAGCUCGUAGGCGGCUUGUCGCGUCGGCUGUGAAAACCCGGGGCUCAACCCCGGGCCUGCAGUCGAUACGGGCAGGCUAGAGUCCGGCAGGGGAGACUGGAAUUCCUGGUGUAGCGGUGAAAUGCGCAGAUAUCAGGAGGAACACCGGUGGCGAAGGCGGGUCUCUGGGCCGUAACUGACGCUGAGGAGCGAAAGCGUGGGGAGCGAACAGG